AGGUCAGAUAUGCUUAGAAGUGUGGCAGAAAACGUUUCUCUUAUUAAUACACAUUAAUACAGUAUUUGGCAAGUUCGAUCUAAUUUUCAAUUAUAUAAAAUAUUUGUAGAUUAAAACAGUACAGUAAAACUAUUAAAUAAAUCUACGGAUCUAAAUUCCAACCUAAAAAUACGAGCCUACACAAAAUUCUUUAGCUGAUCGAGAACCUUGAGUUUCACUGCUGAAAGACUGUGUAGUCCUUGUUCGCGUGAACAAGUAUACAUAUCGUUUUCUUAUAGACGUGACCUUUUUGUGAAUUCUUAUCAACAUUUACUUCAGUUACGGAAGGCUUAAUUUCUAAGCAAAUAACGUAGUUUUACGAUAUGACAUAUCCGUGCAUGCUACAUCUGUAACUUCA